rnacentral:rRNA from 2 species
UCAAGCAUGAAGAAGGGCAUUCGGUGGAUGCCUUGGCACCGAGAGGCGAUGAAGGACGUAGCACCUUGCGAUAAGCUUCGGGGAGAGGGGAGCGCUCUUUGAUCCGAAGAUUUCCGAAUGGGGAAACCCACCCCGCGAGGGGUAUCGGCCGCUGAAUCCAUAGGCGGUCGAGGCAAACCCGGCGAAUUGAAACAUCUCAGUAGCCGGAGGAAAGGACAUCAAUCGAGACUCCGCAAGUAGUGGCGAGCGAACGCGGACCAGGCCAGUGGCCUGCUGUGUCAAACCGGAAGCGUCUGGAAAGGCGCGCCAGAGCGGGUGACAGCCCCGUACGGGUAAAUGGCACGGCGGGUCCUUGAGUAAGGCGGGACCCGAGAAAUCCUGUCUGAACAUGGGGGGACCACCCUCCAAGCCUAAGUACUCCUCGGUGACCGAUAGUGCACCAGUACCGUGAGGGAAAGGUGAAAAGCACCCCGACGAGGGGAGUGAAACAGACCUGAAACCGAAUGCCUACAAGCAGUCGGAGCUUAGAUGUCAGCUGCCAGCUGCUGGAUAUCGGAUCGCUUCCGGUAUCCGGCUGCUGACACCUGGCAUCUUUGUGACGGCGUACCUUUUGUAUAAUGGGUCAGCGAGUUGAUCUUGCGAGCAAGCUUAAGCCGUUAGGUGAAGGCGAAGCGAAAGCGAGUCUGAAUAGGGCGUUCAGUUCGUAGGAUCAGACCCGAAGCCGAGUGAUCUAGCCAUGGGCAGGCUGAAGGUGGGGUAACACCCACUGGAGGGCCGAACCCACGCCCGUUGAAAAGGUCGGGGAUGACCUGUGGCUAGGGGUGAAAGGCCAAUCAAACUCGGCGAUAGCUGGUUCUCCGCGAAAGCUAUUUAGGUAGCGCGUCGCGUAUUCCUGCCGGGGGUAGAGCACUGGAUGGGCUAGGGGGGCCCACAGCCUUACCAAACCCAACCAAACUCCGAAUACCGGCAAGGAUCAGCGCGGCAGACAGACCAGGGGUGCUAAGGUCCUUGGUCGAGAGGGAAACAGCCCAGACCGCCAGCUAAGGUCCCCAAAUCGUGGCUCAGUGGGAAAGGAUGUGGGAAGGCCAAGACAACCAGGAGGUUGGCUUAGAAGCAGCCAUCCUUUAAAGAAAGCGUAACAGCUCACUGGUCUAGACAAGCCGUCCUGCGCCGAAGAUGUAACGGGGCUUAAGCCACGUACCGAAGCUGCGGGCACGCUUUGCGUGCGGUAGCGGAGCGUUCCGUAGGCCUGCGAAGGUGGUCCGUGAGGACUGCUGGAGGUAUCGGAAGUGCGAAUGCUGACAUGAGUAGCGAUCAAGCGGGUGAGAAACCCGCUCGCCGAAAGUCCAAGGGUUCCUGCGCAAGGCUAAUCCGCGCAGGGUGAGCCGGCCCCUAAGGUGAGGGCGAAAGCCGUAGCCGAUGGGAACGGGGUUAAUAUUCCCCGGCCUGCUGGUGGUGACGAACGUUGACGGGUGUCGGGACUUAUCGGAUUGUCCCGGCUUCUGAAUGCGUUCCAGGAAAGAACCCCAGCGUACAGACCGUACCCGAAACCGACACAGGUGGACUGGUAGAGCAUACCAAGGCGCUUGAGAGAACGGUGUUGAAGGAACUCGGCAAAUUGCCCCCGUAACUUCGGGAGAAGGGGGCCCCCGUUGCGGGCAACCGUGGCGGGGGGGCACAAAGCAGGGGGUGGCGACUGUUUACUAAAAACACAGGACUCUGCGAAGCCGCGAGGCGACGUAUAGGGUCUGACGCCUGCCCGGUGCCGGAAGGUUAAGAGGAGAAGUGCAAGCUUUGAAUCGAAGCCCCGGUAAACGGCGGCCGUAACUAUAACGGUCCUAAGGUAGCGAAAUUCCUUGUCGGGUAAGUUCCGACCUGCACGAAUGGCGUAACGACUUCCCCACUGUCUCCAACACCGACUCAGCGAAAUUGAAUUCUCCGUGAAGAUGCGGAGUACCCGCGGUUAGACGGAAAGACCCCGUGCACCUUUACUACAGCUUUGCAGUGGUACUAGGGAGCAGAUGUGUAGGAUAGGUGGGAGGCUUUGAAGCGGUGACGCCAGUUGCCGUGGAGCCAACCUUGAAAUACCACCCUUCUUCUCUCUGGUCUCUAACCGCAUGCCCGCAAUCGGGCAUCGGGACCCUGCAUGGCGGGUAGUUUGACUGGGGCGGUCGCCUCCCAAAGAGUAACGGAGGCGCGCGAUGGUGGGCUCAAGCUGGUCGGAAACCAGCUGUUGAGUGCAAUGGUACAAGCCCGCCUGACUGCGAGAGCGACGGUUCGAGCAGAGACGAAAGUCGGUCAUAGUGAUCCGGUGGUCCCGCGUGGAAGGGCCAUCGCUCAACGGAUAAAAGGUACGCCGGGGAUAACAGGCUGAUCUCCCCCAAGAGUCCACAUCGACGGGGAGGUUUGGCACCUCGAUGUCGGCUCAUCACAUCCUGGGGCUGGAGCCGGUCCCAAGGGUUCGGCUGUUCGCCGAUUAAAGUGGUACGUGAGCUGGGUUUAGAACGUCGUGAGACAGUUCGGUCCCUAUCUGCCGUGGGUGUCGGAGACUUGCGAGGCGCUGCCCCUAGUACGAGAGGACCGGGGUGGACGAACCUCUGGUGUACCUGUUGUCGCGCCAGCGGCACCGCAGGGUAGCUAAGUCCGGAAAGGAUAACCGCUGAAGGCAUCUAAGCGGGAAACCUCCCUCAAAACCAGGUCUCCUCAUAAGAGCCGUGGAAGACGACCACGUUGAUAGGCCGGGUGUGGACGCGCGGUGACGCGUGUAGCUAACCGGUCCUAAUCGCUCGAACGCUUGAUCAU